UGAUAAAUUUAACUACUACUUUUUUCUAAAUCAUAGUUUUAAAUGAGAAAAUGUUAUAAAAAAAUAAAAUAAUAAAAUGUCAACUAAUGAUAUAAGAAAAAAACAAUAUUGGAACCCACUAUAAACAUGAUAGUUUCUACUUUCUAAGGUUCAAAUCUGAAGAAAACAAGAAUUCCGCAUCAUCUACAUGUUUCAUGCAAACUUUCAGUGUCAUCCACACUUUCAUAAACUAACCUUGCUGCAUGGACAGCAUGGUUAAAUACAAAAAUCUCGAUGCUAUUCUUGAUUUCAAAACUCUCUCUCUACAUACAAGACUAAGAUUACAGUUGGAAUCUUCCUUCUUUGGUCUGUACACUUGAAUGUAUAU